CCCCUCCUCCUCGUGCGCCCGCCCGCCCCAAACUCCGGCAAACAAAACGCACCAUUCACAACUCUGCGACCGGAGCCGCGCAUGCGCCGCCCACCCGCUUGCGGGGCGGCUGGACUGCAGCGAGCCAGAGGUGCGGCCCUCUCACCCUUGCGGGCCCGCGGUUUCUUCUGUGUAGAACUGCUCUGCGGACAUCUGCCCGGACCUUGGAGAGAGGGAGCCGCUCGCGCGGUUCCUUUCUGUCGACUGUAUGAAACUUUGGGGCUUCUCAGCUGCUUGGAGUGACCCCAGAUUGUCACCUGAACCAAACUAAACUGAACCAAAAACAACCUAUGGGACAGGCUGCGGUAUGCCCAGGUCGAGUUGCAGGAGAGGCCAGAGUGAGGAGUCUGGAUGUAGCACCAAGACCUACACCAAUGGACAAGCGAGGAUGGAGUAUGGAUAUCCUGAGGUCCCUUCUGAGAUAAUGAAGAAAAAAGCCAGGUCCUUAAUGCUGGUAUAGUCUCAUCCAAAAGGCCAUCUUCUCCUCCUUGAGCUUCACACCCACCCUCGUGAUGAAAUCCAACUGCAGGUACUUCUCCUCCUUGUUAUAGCGUGGCCAGUAAGGCAGCUUCCCAGCAUUGGGGUUUCUGCCCAGAAGGAAGAAGGAGAGAGGGUUGUUCAUGCUCGUCUUCACCCUGCCUCCUUCUCUUACCCUUCCCUUAUUCACCUUCCCUUUGGAAGUUGGAGUCCAAGAAUUCCUUACAGGGAUGAUAUUUAGAUCUUUAAGAAAGAAUAGAAGAGUGUGUGGUGGCAAAAGAAAACAGGCAGAGGGAAGAGUAUGUGCAAAGGGUUGGAGGUAUGAAAGACCAGGGCUUUUGGAGGAAGCACAAGUAUAAGUUUACAGAAAAACAUGGGCUGUGUCAAGAGGAUGGCUGUGGAUAGAAGAUGACCCAGUAAAGAUUUUGAAAAUUUUCAUGCCAACGGGCUAAGGGGUGGGGACUUUAGUCUGGGGGCAGAGGGAAGCCAGGAAGAGUUUUAAACAGGUGAGUGACUUGGUCAGAUAGUAUUUCAGAAAGAUCUUUUGUGUAUCAUAAGAGGGGUGGAGAGAAAGGAUAGAGAAUGUGGAGAUGGGAAACCAGUCACAAGGCUAGCCAAAGCUCAGCCCAGAUGUCACCUCUGCCAGGAAGCCGCUCCUGCCCAUCUGAGCUCGGUCAGACACCUCCUCUGUGCUCUCAUAGUACCUUCUUCCCCAGUACAGCAACUUAAUGUUUUCAUUAUAACAUUAACAAGCUGCUGAAGGAUGCGGGCCAUGUUUGCAAGAUUCUUGAAUUCCAGCUUCCAGUAUAGGGCUGGGUGAAAAACAGUGCAUGAUGAAUGACUUGGGUUGAAUGCUUGAGUGAAUGAAGAGUGUAGUCAUGGGACAGAAAGGGACACAUCCUAGGGACAUUUAGGACCUGGUCACUGGCUAGGAAAAGGUGAGGGAGAAGGUGCAGUUUGCUUAGGCUGAUCAUGUAUUUCCUAUGGGACACACAGGGACAAAUACCUGAAGCAGCUGGCCAAUGGGUCUAGCGUUGGGCAGGAAGACUGCCCAGAUGUGUUGGGGGACCAGACUCACCCUGUACGGGCAAAGUUGGCCCAGUAUUUCAUCAUCUGGAGGCUCAGUGCUUUCUCCUCAACCGUGGAAUGGCCUGGGGUCAGAAUAGGAUGUGACAUUUGGAACAGAGCAUGGGGUGGUAACAUCCCACCCUUCUCCUUCCAUUAUUUCUUCCAUACUGGGAGGCUUUCAUUUCCAGGAACAUUCUAGAUUAGGAACUGCCUAGACCCUUAGGGUCAGCCAAUGGAGAGGUGAGUCCGGAUACAAAGGUGGGGAGACUAGACACCCAGUGAGGGUGUCAGGUGGGGCUGUAGCACCUUUGGAGAAGGGAUUCCCAAAGAUGAAGUGGAUCUCAUCCCCGUGGUCUGCCCCAUCAGUGCAGGGCUUGAUGAUGACGCCGGUGGGAGUGUGGUGCUCAAACUCAUACAGGUAGACAGGGAAGCCAGCAUCUAGGAAUAGGGAAACUGAGGAGGGCUGCAGGAAAAGUCCUGGGCUGGGAUUCUCAUCCACCCCACACAUCCCACCCACCUGCAUCAAGCAGGGAAAAGUGCUUAGGCUCCAGAAUCUCAGGAGCAGAUUUGAGUCCUGUCUACACUACUCAUCAGUCCCAUGUCCUGGGGCAAGUCACUCACUCAACAGUCUCUGAGCUGCAAUUCCUCAUCUGCAGAUGGGGAUUGUAGCAGGAUCACAGACCCUUCCUGUUCUUUCUCUGAACAGUUCCUCUCUUGGGCAUUUAAAGUUCUUUGGUGUCUGUGCUCUCCAGCCCCACCUUUGAACUCUCACCCAUGUGUUCUCCAAGUCCCAUUCAGCCUGGACAGGAUCUCCAAUGUGCCCCCUCAGCCUGUCCUCCCAGCCAGGAAGCCUUCCCUGACCACCCUAGGCUAUGUCCUCUGGGCUGGACUCUGCCCUGCCCUCCUUCUCCUUUCUCUCUCAGUUGACAGCCCACUACUUUUUCUAUGCCAUCUUGGAAUCCUAUACCAGCCCAGAGGUGCAAGAAGGUGGUUGAGCAGUUGGUAAGCAGCAUCAGUAGACAGAGUGUGGCCACUCUUGGGGACCCCACAUACCUCUGUGGUGGUGGGCAGCCUGUAGUGUGGAGUACACAAAGAUCGCAUCCCCAGCUAGGUCCAUUAAACGGUUUCUUAACAUUUUCCAGUCACGGUCAUCAAUGUCACCCAGGUACUCCUCCAUCACCAGUGGUAACUGCUCUUUGGUGAUAUUCUGGGUGGGGAAUUCAUACCCACCCUGAGGUCUGGGAUGCCAGCUGAGCAGAAAUGGGCACACUAGUGACUUAUACUCAGCAUCCUCAGGAGUUUUUGGUCUGGGAGAGUGGGGGAGAGAGGGGAACUUCUGGGAAGAUCUUUGCUGAUUCUUACCCCUGUGUUUAGACUGCAUGAGAACUGCCUGCCAUGACCCUGAGGCCAGUGCGGUGGUGGGGGGGUGGGGGGAACCUUCUCACCAGCAGCCAUCUGAUCCCAUACCAAACUCCAAGCUCCACCAAAAGGGGAGUUAGCUUUGUCCAACCAAACUGAGCACCCCUAACAGCAUGGCUCCUCACCAACAGGGUACUGGUUCUCCAGAGCAGCUUGGUGAUGAUUCCUUUUCUCAUUAUGAACUGGUUUAGUGAGAUCUUCAUGAUCUGCCCACAAUAUAAGGACCCAGGUGUGAGUUAGGCCCAAACAUCAGGAGGGAUUCCAGCCAGAGCUACACCAGGCUCCAAGGCUCUCACCCAUCUAAGUGGUGAGUUCUCAGAGCACACAGCCCUGGAAGGGCCCAUGACUAUUUCCUGCCCUCCUGUUCUCAACCUGUCCAUCACUACCACCCAGGUCAGAGCUGAAGUGGGGACUGGGGACAACUAUCCUGACCUAGGAGCAGUUGUGGGGGUGGGGGUGGGGGGCAGGAUUUGCAGCUGCCUGGAGGCUAAACAAUGGAUAGGAUGAUCCAUCCAAACUAUGAUCUGAAGAUUUGGGGUCCUCAAACCUCCAAGAGGCCAAUACUUCUCUUCCUCCCAUCAUUUCUGGCCAGCUCUUACUGCUCUGGGACUGCAGGACGUACCCAAGCACUUGGACAUCCCCAGAAGAGCCAAUGGGAUCCAAUCUCAUGCACAGUACUACCCAAGAGGAAUCCUCUGCUACUCCCGCUGGGUGGGCACCCCUCCUAUUGACUUACAAAAGGUAAGAGCCAACUGAAUUCCAGGUUGUUGACACCCAGAAGAUAGGGCACAGGUGCAACUUGCCCCUGGCUCAGGAGCACCGCUGGGUCAUCUGGGAACACCACACCAUCCACCACCGGACUCAUGAACCACACAACCUACAAGUCAAGGGGCAUUUCCAAAUAGUCCUCCCACAUAUCCUCCCAGGAUCCCUGUAGCCUAGGGUUCCCAGCUCAGCAGGUCCCCAUCCAGAGAUUUCUUUAUCCAUAGGCCCUUUGGGAAAAGCUGGGCUUCAGUGACCCCUUGGAAGGCAGGAGAUGCUUACCCCCAGGUAUCUACUUUCCUCACCUCUUGACAAUCUUUGCUAAAUGUCACCUUCUGAAUGAAUCUUUCUUUGUCCCUCCUAUUUAAAAUUCUAUGCCUUCCAACUUCCUUACCCUGCUCCAUUUGUCACUAUUCACUUUCCUUCUAAAGAGGUAAAUGAGUUAUUUAUGUAUAGUGAUUACUGCCUGUCUCCACUGGAACAUCAGUCCUAUUCGGGAAGGAAUCUUGGUCUGAACAGUUCACUUAGUAUCCUGAAUGCCUGGCACAUAGGAGGAGGUGUUCAAUAAAUACUGUAUCACAGAACAGGACCUGCUCACCUCCUGAGGGUCUUUCUGGGAGUUCAGGUGGAAGAAUCCCUGUAGGGGAGAGGAGGGAACUAGAGUUAAAGAAAGUCUCCCCACUGUGCUCCUUAGACAGGGUCCCUGGGGGCAGCCGGGUAUCAGGUCAGGUAGGUGGCUUACAGGUGGCCAGGUGAAGGAGCUAGAAGGAAGUUUUACUUACCAUCUUCUUAGAUACAUGCAUCACUUCAGCCCCUGAUCGUGCCCUCAGGCAGUCUACCAGAAUCCGUGUGCUGUUGUAGGUACAGCCUGCCAGGCGGGCAACUGUCUGUGGAGAAGAGGUGUUUAGGCCCAUCCUGCCCCUUCUUGCUGAGCCCUGGGGGAGAGGAGACACCCACCUUGGCCACCUUCAGCGGGUCAGGAGUGAUGAAGGCUCUGAGGGCUGCGGUGCCGCUCUGGGAAAUGGCCCGAUGAAAGAGACCACGGGCUAGGGGUGACAUCAUCUGCAGGGGUGGGGAGUGUGGUACCCAUGAGAGGCACAAGUAGAAGUCACUUGGGCAGUUUUGGGUGCCUUUCUGGCCAGGGCUGGGCAGCGUGAAGGGGCCCAAAGAGUGCAGGCAGCUUGGGAGGGAGUCAAGAGUCCUGGGUUGGAGUCCUGGACCUACAGCCGGUGCCUUCAUGCCUGUGGGCCCCCCUAUCCUGGCCCCUGCAAUGGGCCCCAGCAGUUCCAGAGGGGAUCUGAGCUUGUGGGAAGGGUUCUGCUGGUGUAAGAAAGAGACUCUCUAUGCUUCUGGGUUAGAAAUGGGGGGGGGGGGGGUGUUGGUUCCUAUGGCCCCUUUAACCUGUAUUGACAGUUCUUAACUUUCUUUGCUGCCCAAGUUGGAAGAGCAGCUAUAACUGGGACCCCUCAUCUUGUCUCUUGGACACUUCAGACUUCAUGUGCCCCAAACUUGUUCUAGCUGGUUCCCAUCUGAGUGGCAUCCCUCACACUACACCAUCCAUCCAGCCCCAGGGGCCUUUCCUAUCAUCUCUGCUCACCCCUCCACCCAGCUGCCCUAGUCCUGUCCAUCUGGCUUCCUGCAUCCCUCUUCAGCUACCUUCUACUUUCCAGUCUUCUUGCUUCUGUUUCAGAGGCAGGCCUCAUCCUCUCUUCUAAGAUAUACCCCACCUCCACUCCCAGAUGGCCUCCAGGCCUCUCCUCCUGCUUCUUCCUAACUCAGUUCCAGCACACUGAGCCAUCUCUCUAAAUGCACUUCUGGCUGUGUCACUUCUCUGCUUCAAAUCUUUCCCUGUUCUCCAAUGUAUUUUGAAUAAAGCUGCUUAACUUUUCUGGACUUCAAUUUAUCCAUCUGCACAAUGGAGAAAACUUCUCUUUUGGUAGAACUGUAGAAAGAGGAUGCUUCUAUUUCUGGAUUGUUGAGGGAACUGAAUGAAUAUACAUACAGUGCUUGGAAGAGUGUUUGACACACAGAAAGUGCUUGAGCGUUUGAGUAUUAUUACUGUGGCGGGUAAAGCCCUGUGUUAUGUGGUCCCAGCUCACCUCCCUAACAUGUGUCCCACAGGGUGUACCUGACCUUACACCUACACUCCAGGCACACUCCAGGUCAGUGGUCUCCCGAGUCUCCAACCCAGGCCCCUGACUCCCAGGCUUGGUCUGUGGCCCCAGCCUUGCCCAUAAGGCGGAUGAUGCAUUCUGUUCAGGGGAUAGAGCUCUGGGGGUAGGUAGGGAGGCAGGAGGUGCUGGGUUAUCUUUCUGGCCCACCACGGAUUGGCGAGUAUCCCUACUCUCAGCGUUGCCCGCUCUGCUGGCUUGGUUUUCUCAUCAGUGCUACCCCUGGAUGGAGUAGUACCCUUUGCAGGGGUGAGGGCAAGUCUGUGCACCGGCAUGUACCUGUACACACAAAUCUGCAUAGGUGUGUGUGCAGUGGAGGCUGCACUCAUGGGAACCCGGGGACCUGCGUCUGUGCUGGGUCUGACCUGGCGCUGCACUCACCAGUCCCGAAAUACACAUGGCCCCCGAAGACUGGCCAAACAGGGUCACGCAGCGUGGGUCUCCGCCGAAGGCUGCGAUGUUCUCUUGUACCCAGCGCAAAGCAGCCACCUGGUCCAGCAGCGCCCAGUUCCCGCGGGCCUGGCUGUCGCCCGUGCUGGACGCGCGGGGCUUAUAAUCAGGGUCCGGAGCCCCCCGACCGUCUGGUUACUCAGGGCUCCAGCCUGGUUCUGCCUGGCCCCACCUCACCCUGCCUGGUCCCUCAGGCACCAGGUCUUGCGACCACACCUCUUUCCCUAGUGUUAGAUCCCCCUCUGGCGGCACUUGGGAGUGACCGCCCUCUCCAGAAGAAAUUAGGCCCCGCCCCUGCACGCACCUCUUGUAACCACGCCCCCACACCCCCUCCUCUAUCCUUCCGCCCAAGUCCCUAGGAAGCCGGGCCCCUGAUUCCCCGCUCCGGCCCCCGGCCCCGCCCACCUCAGGAAACCCAGGAUGCCGAGCCUGUGCUGCAGAAGCACGAGCACCACUUUCUCGCGAGAGGCCAGCUGCGUGCCAUCGUACGUGGAAGCGGAGCCCACGAGGAAGGCACCUCCUGGGAACCAGACCAUCACCUGGACAUGGAAAGCGGAGGCCUGAGCUGGGCGGUGGGGUGCCUGAGUGGGAUGGUGCGUGGAAGAGGAUGAAUACUCACCGGCAACGGAGCGUCCCCACGCGCGCGCACUGGAGCGUACACGUUCAGAAAUUGAUAAGCUGAUCAGAAUUCAUAUGGAAAUGUAAGGGACCUGGAAUAACCAGAACAACUGUUAGGGAUUGAUUUGUAUCUUCACAAAAAGAUAUGCACAGGCAUAACCCCCAGUACUUCAGAAUGUGACCUUAUUUAAAGACGAGGCCUUUAGAGAGGUAGUCAAGUUAAGACGAUUGCAAAGGUAAUCAUUAGGGUGGGCCCUAGUCCAAUAUGACUAAUGUCCUUGUGAAAAGGGGCAAUUCGGACACAGAGACAGAUGGCACAGAGGGAAGACAAUGUGAAGACAGAGGGAGAAUGCCAUGGAACGCCUGAUGCAACCAGAAAAUAGUAGAGAAGUGUGGACUCUCUCUCACAGGACUCAGAAGGAACCAAACCUGCUAACACCUUGAUUUCAGACGUCUAGCCUCUAGAACAGUGAGACAAUUUCUGUUGUUUAAACCACCCAGAUUGUGGUCCUUUGUUAUGACAACCCUAGCAAAGUAACACAGCAAUCUUGAAGAACAAAGAAGAACAAAGGUGGAGGAUUCACACUUCUCCAUUUCAAAACUUAGUACAAAACUAAUCAGUAUGGUGUGGUACUGGCAUAAGGAUAGACAUAUAAUUAACCAAAUAGAACUGAGAGUCCAGAGAUAAACCCUUAAGUUUAUGGCCAAUGAUUUUCAGGAAGCGUAUCAAGACAGUUCAAUAAGGAAAAAAAAAGUGUUUCAACAACUGAUUCGGGAACAGCUGGAUAACCACAUACAAAAAAUCCCUCAGUCACACCAUAUGCAUAGUUUUAACUUCAAAUGAAUCAUAAACCUAAACAUAAGAGCUAAAACUAUAAAAUUCUUCGAGAAAACGUAGAGGUAAAUCUGACUAAGCAAUCAAUUCUUAGAUAUUACUCCCAAAGGACAAGCAACAAAAGAGAAAAUAAAUUGGACUUCAUCAAAAUGUUAAGUUUUUUGUGUUGUUAAGAACACCGUAACAAAGUGAAAAGACAACCCACGGCAUGGGAAACAAGAUUUACAAAUCAUACAUCUGACAGGGACUUGUAUCUAGACUAUAUGAGAAACUCUUACAACUCAAUGAUAAAAAGAUAAUCCAAUUUAAAAAUGGGCAAAGAUUUUAAUAGACAUUUUUCCAAAGAAGAUAUAAAAAUGGCCAAUCAUCACAUAAAAAGAUACUCAACAUGGUAAGUCAUUAGGGAAAUGCAAAUCAAAACCACAACGAGAUACCACUUCACACCCACUAGGAUGACUAUAAUCAAAACUAGAGCUAGUGAGUGUUGUUGAGGAUGUGGACUAACCGAAAUCCUCCUACAUUGCUGGGGUGGGGGGGGGGGGAUGUGAAAUGGUACAGACACUUUGGAAAACAGGCAAUUCCUCAAACGAUUAAACAGAGUUACUAUGGGACCCAGCAAUUCCACUUCUAGGUAUAUAACCAAGAGAAAUUAAAACCUAUAAUUGCAUAAAAACUUGUACAUGAAUGUUCAUAGUAGGAUUAUCCAUAAUAGCCAAAAAGGUAGAAAUGACCCAAAUGCCUAUCAACUGAUGAAUGGAUAAACAAAACGUGCUGUAUCCACACAAGGGUCUAUUUAGUCAUAAAAAAGAAUGAAUACUAACACGAGAUACAAGAUGGAUGAAACUUGAAAACAUCAUUUUAGGUGAAAGAGGUCAGACACCAAAAAAAAAAAAAAAAAACAUUGUAGGAUUCUACUUAUUUGAAAUGUAUAGAA